rnacentral:rRNA from 1 species
AUUGAACGCUGGCGGCAGGCCUAACACAUGCAAGUCGAGCGGAUGAAGGGAGCUUGCUCCUGGAUUCAGCGGCGGACGGGUGAGUAAUACCUAUGAAUCUGCCUGGUAUUGGGGGAUAACGUCCGGAAACGGGCGCUAAUACCGCAUGCGUCCUGAGGGAGAAAGUGGGGGAGCUUCGGACCUCACGCUAUCAGAUGAGCCUAGGUCGGAUUAGCUAGUUGGUGGGUUAAAGGCCUACCAAGGCGACGAUCCGUAACUGGUCUGAGAGGAGGAUCAGUCACACUGGAGCUGAGACACGGUCCAGACUCCUACGGGAGGCAGCAGUGGGGAAUAUUGGACAAUGGGCGAAAGCCUGAUCCAGCCAUGCCGCGUGUGUGAAGAAGGUCUUCGGAUUGUAAAGCACUUUAAGUUGGGAGGAAGGGCAGUAAGUUAAUACCUUGCUGUUUUGACGUUACCAACAGAAUAAGCACCGGCUAACUUCGUG